GUGAGCAGACAGCAUGACAAAAUGUAUCAUCCUAUUGAUUUCAAGAAAACGAUCCUUGACAUUUUUUUGUGUAUUACCAGGUUCUGAAACUCACAGGGACUUCAAAAGUCAACCUGUCUAAUCCCAACUUUGGGUAGAUCAAUUGUUUUCACCAUGUAACAGAUGGGCCACUAUGGGCCAGAGAGGUUAAACCCCCUGUUCCUGGUCACACAGCUGGAUGGGUGGCUACGUGAAGACUAGAACCCAAUCCCCUGAUACGGAGCACAGUGAAGUGCCAUUUCUCUUACACGCUGGCUUUCAAACUUGGCUGCACUUUAGAAUCACCAGAGAGCUUUAAAGAAUAUUGAUGCCUGGGUCCCACCUCCAGAGAACUUGAUUUAAUUGAUUUUGAUUUAACAUUUUAAUAAAACAUAUUUUAAAGAUAUUUGUAUUAUAAAUAUUUUAAUUUUUAUUAUAAAAUAAAACAUCACAAUAGAAUAUCACACAAAUCAAAUGCCUGGUUUAAUGAAUUAUUUUAAGGUGAAUACCACCCAGAUUUUUUAAAAAAUAGAACUUUGCCAGCCACUCUGAAAGCCCCUUCAGUGUAACCCAUCCCAACCACAAUCUCUCCUCC
rnacentral:lncRNA from 10 species